AGCGAACGCUGGCGGCAGGCCUAACACAUGCAAGUCGAACGAACCUUUCGGGGUUAGUGGCGGACGGGUGAGUAACACGUGGGAACGUGCCUUUAGGUUCGGAAUAACUCAGGGAAACUUGUGCUAAUACCGAAUGUGCCCUUCGGGGGAAAGAUUAAUCGCCUUUAGAGCGGCCCGCGUCUGAUUAGCUAGUUGGUUGAGGUAAUGGCUCACCAAGGCGACGAUCAGUAGCUGGUCUGAGAGGAUGAUCAGCCACAUUGGGACUGAGACACGGCCUAAACUCCUACGGGAAGCAGCAGUGGGGAAUCUUGCGCAAUGGGCGAAAGCCUGACGCAGCCAUGCCGCGUGAAUGAUGAAGGUCUUAGGAUUGUAAAAUUCUUUCACCGGGGACGAUAAUGACGGUACCCGGAGAAGAAGCCCCGGCUAACUUCGUG
rnacentral:rRNA from 1 species